GGACNUACGCUAAUACUGNAUNCGACNUACGGGUGNANCNGGAGGACCUUCGGGCUUUGCNCAGAUAGAUGANCNGACNUCGGAUUAGCUAGUUGGCGGGGUAAAGGCNCACCNAGGCGACGAUCCGUAGCUGGUNUGAGAGGAUGAUCAGCCACACUGGAANUGAGACACGGUCCAGACUCCUACGGGAGGCAGCAGUGGGGAAUAUUGGACAAUGGGCGCAAGCCUGAUCCAGCCAUGCCGCGUGUGUGAAGAAGGCCUUCGGGUUGUAAAGCACUUUUGUCCGGAAAGAAAAGCUUCGGGUUAAUACCCCGAGGUCAUGACG
rnacentral:rRNA from 1 species